rnacentral:rRNA from 1 species
UUGGCUAAAGUUUGAUCCUGGCUCAGGAUGAACGCUGGCGGCAGGCUUAAUACAUGCAACCCGAACGGUAACAGGCCUAGCAAUAGGUGCUGACGAGUGGCGCACGGGUGCGUAACGCGUAUGCAACCUACCCAUAAUUGGAACAUAACGUUGAGAAAUUAGCGCUAAUAUUCCAUGUGAAUAUGAGGAGACCUCUUUUUAUAUUUAAAGAUUUAUUGAUUGUGGAUGAGCAUGCGGAUGAUUAGCUGGUUGGCAGUGUAACGGACUACCAAGGCGAUGAUCAAUAGGGGAACUGAGAGGUUUGUCCCCCACACUGGCACUGAGAUACGGGCCAGACUCCUACGGGAGGCAGCAGUAGGGAAUAUUGGACAAUGGGUGCAAGCCUGAUCCAGCCAUGCCGCGUGCAGGAAGAAGGCCUUCUGGGUCGUAA